UUUCCAGAAGCGAAAUGAUGCUCGACAGUUUAUGAAGUUUCUCCAUCUGGAUCUUGGUGUUGAACUUCCUGAAAGAUCUUAUGGAGCUGACUGCCGCAUAUAUCUUCCUGAAAAUCCUACAAGCAGGUUUAAGAAUGUUUAUGAAACACUUUUUGACGAAUUCGUUUUAGCUCAUAUUAUUGGAUGGUGGGGUAAAGCUA